rnacentral:lncRNA from 1 species
ACAUCCUCUUUCAGUUAAUUUGCGUCAAGAUAUUAAACACCUCAGUAAUAUCUAUACGUCGGUAAUACACCAUUCUUAGUUCCCCUAAGUUACCUAUUGUGCAUAUCUCUACUUUAUCAUCAAAAUUGUCCUUUUUUGGCUUCUAUGUUCCUAGGUCAUAUCUAUGUCUCCUACUUGCCGGUAAGCCUUCUUCUGGUCCGACCAUUGUUGUGUCAACGCCUCUAACGGUCAUCUAAAUUCAAUGUCGUGCCUUCCUUGCCAUUAAUUUUGCUCUAUGAUGUGUGCUUGGGAGUUCCGUAUUGCACUGUAUAAUGUAAUAGUGUAUUUUAUAAUUUUAUUCUAUAAAACUGUUUCAUCGGCAUGUUCCACAUCAUGCUUUUUUAUCAAAAAAAUUGUGGCACCAGAUUAUCAUGUUAAAAAAAGUUCGUUCUGAGGAGCGCUCCCACCCGGGCCGAAACGUUAACAAAUUGACGUCUGUUUCAUUGACCUUCAUAUCCAAGAAACAAAUAUUUAUUCGUCAUCAUCGAGGUCAAGACAAUCAUAUACGUUCAAUUACAACAUCAACAACGAUACAAAAAAGAAUGGUUUUGUGCUCACGUCACAAUUGAGUUGUCUUCAAGUGACCUAUGAAUAAUAUGGCUAAUGAAAUUACUCAGAUUCUUAGUCAGAAAUUCAAUCAAAUAGCGAUUGUAGCAAAUCAUAAGCAUACGCGGAUUACAGUUCAAGAGGUUGCGGAUUACAGUUCAGGAGGUUGGUGACUAACUCUAGAGUCUAGAGGACUGCGAAAACACGAAAGUGAAACUCCAAAAUUAUAUCUAUUCACGUAUCAAAUGUGUGAAACUCAAAAAAUUACAAUAAAUUUGUACUGUGAAAUUUUCACAAAUACUUCAGAUUUCAUCUUUUAUCCUGCGCAAUUUUGUUAUAAAGGAUAAGGUUGUUUUUAAAUACCCUUCAUUCACAGUAAUAACUAAUAAUUCCAGUAAAAAUUUAAAAAGAGUGAAAAAGACUAAUAAUUUAGAUUAUAAUUUAUGGCGCGUCAUUCAAUAUUUCAAAUUGUACAAUUUCUAAGAAAUAUUGAAUCAUUAAUAUCAGUGUGUUUUUGCUCGAAAAUACGCAAUUUUUUUAAUUAAUUUGCAUGACCCCCGCGAGAAUUGUUUUUGGUUGAUUAUAACACAAUACACAACUCUGUAUAAUCGACUUGUACAAUGUGGAAAAACAAGUCAGUGAAUAUUCUUGCAUAUUAUUCUUUUUGCAUCAAAGAUGUUUCAAAAUAUUUUUGGUAUUUGGAAAUAUGUCCCAUACAUCCUUAUGCUAAAUGUUGUACUGACUUAUAAAUCUGAUUCUAAUCUUAACUCAAUGUUAAAAGGCUGCUAUAUCUUUACUUACAGAGUUGAAUGUCAAUCUUUUAUACUAUUGUCAAAGCCCAUGCAGGACUGAUGUGAACAUGUGGUAGUCAACGCAAUUUUACAUGUAGUACCGAACAAACAUAUCAAAAAACUCCUGUUUUAUGCACACGUAAGGCCAGGAAAAGCAUUCCAACAAUAAAUGGCAAUUUAAUUACAAAAAUACAUUUCUUGGCAUCAUAGCUGCAUCAAAAGGAAAUAUUUAUUCUGGUAGUUAUAUUCGUCAUUGCACGUAGAAUUGCACUGACUACAGCAAUUUCACAUCAGUGAGGCGUAGGCUUUGAUAACAAGCAAAAUAGGACAUGGUCGUCUUUUUUUUUAUUGCAUGAAUCGUUAGUAUAACUAUUCAAGAAUAUGUGGUCAAAAUUUCAAAGCAAAAUUCCCAUUAGUUCGAAUGCAAUGAGCACUUAAGUGACCGCCCGUCGGUUCUGUGAAGAAGCGCACGGUAAUUAUAACGGAGCGGUCGCCCAGGCCCUUCUUUUCCAGCUACCUGCCUCAAUACCGCUGUGCUAUUGAAUAAUAGAAUGACGCAUAUGAGCAAGAAGAGGGAUUGCUAUAUGGUGCUGGAAUAGCUGAUUAACCGAUAAAAAUUGCGACGUCAGGGAUGUACGCAAGCCAAAUGCUCGGAUGGCAAUCGCCCAUGGAAUGCACGCGGUAACUCCACUAUUU